UUUCUUCUUUUUACUAGGUAAAUACUGCUUACAUAUUUAAGAUGAUUUUUAAAAGGUAACAAACAAAACCCCCCAAACCUUAGUUAGGGACUGGGAUUCUAUUUGGGCGUCCUGUUUCUCCCCUUCCCUCUCUACCUGUCCUUCCUACCUACCCUGCCAAAGCUGCUCUGAGACAAGUCUGUAUAUAGUCCCAUGCUGUUUACCCUUGGGAGCUCUCUGAGCCCAUGCUCCACCCCGGCCAUAUCCGCCCUCUUUACCCAUUCAUUUCUGUCCCCUCUGAGCAGAGGUGAGGGAGGCCACGUCACACAUGCAGUCUCAGCUGGGGUGGCAGCAGCUACCGGGACCCCCUUUCCUUAGAAGCAGUCAGUCAAGUGGGAGUUCCCUUUCUCAGUUCCUGGAUCACAUCUGCUUAUUAAGAAAAAGUAUUUAAGACUUGAAAAUGAGGCAAAAGGUGAUGGCAUGUCAUUUCAGUGUUAACUCAAAAAGAUAACCCCAAAGGUUUCAGUUUAUUAUUCCCUAGGGCAUUAACCAGUUUUGUACUAUUUUGUAUUAACCUAGCACUCAAAUUCUAACAGUCCUUUAUGAAAUUGCUAUAAAUAUCAAUUCCCCAAGUGUUCCUGGAAUUAUAUUACUAUUUCCAUCAUUCAUUAAUGAAUUGAAUGAAGUAUUUGAUGUGCUCAUUUCAAUCCUGUAAUAGUUAUCUAUUGCUGGGUAACAAAUUAUCCCAAAUCUUAGUGGCUUAAACAAAUAAUAAACAUUUGUUAUGUUACACAGCUUCUGUGGGUUGGGAAUUCAAGAGCAUUUUAGUAGAAUGAUCUAGCUUGGGUUCUUUCAUGAGAUUGCAAUCAGCCAGGACUGCAGCCAACUGUAGGAGCCUGGGCGGAUCUGCUCCCCAAGAUGACUCACUUAUGUGGGUGACAAGCCAAUGGUCACUAGUGACAGGAAGCCUCAGUCCUCACCAUGGGGACCUCGCCACACACCUGUGUGAGUUUCCUCAUGACAUGGCAACUGGCUUCCCCCAGAGCAAGUGAUCCAGGAGAGAAUAGGGGAAAGUCACAGCGUCUGCUAAGACCUAGAAGUUACAUCCUGUUGGUCACAUUAGUCAGUGCUAUUCAUUGUGGGAAGAGGUGACACAAGGGCAAGAGUACUGGAGGAUGGGGAUCAUUGGGGGAAGUCUUAGAGGCUGGCUACCAACAUCCUCCCUCUGUUCCCCAGUGAUUCACAUCCUACCCACACACAAAAUGUGCUUAGCCUCUCCCAGGGCCCCCAAUGCAGUAGAGUAUCAGUUUGAAGUCCAGAAUUUCAUUAUCCAAAUUAGAUCCAGAUGUUCUUGAGGCUCCUUAGGUGUAGUUCCUUGAAUCCUCAAAGCCAGGUCUGAAAUUUGUGAACUAGACAAGUUAUCUGCAAUAAUAGGACAAGCAUAGCAUAAUUACUGAAGACCCUCCUGUUCAACAGAGUUGGAAAUUGGGGAUGCACGGAAGUCACUGGUUCAUAGCAAUUCUGAAAUCCAGUAGGGUACAAAUGGACAUUUCCUGGGAAUAAUUUUCCACAGCUCUUGGAUUUACUCUGCAGGCUUUUGGUUUUACCCUCUGAGUCAUCCUUCCUUUUCCUGUAUUUGUGUAGUUUUCUCAGCCUGCUUCUGCCUUGUACAAGUUUCAGGGUCCAAAGACAUCUUUUCAGUUUGUGCUGUCUGUCCCUUUCAGCUCAAGCUGUCAAUGCUUCUUCCAAUAUAAUUCUCUUAAAAACCUUGUGGAUGACCUGUGAAUCUCACUACGGGGGGGGGUGCUCACUCCAUUAGAGAAAAAAAAAAGCUUCACCUACAAAUAGCUCCAAUAUAUGCCCUGAAAGGACAGGGUUGUUGAAGUGCUCAGUCUGUGGCAUUUGUUAUUUGUAUGGCAGCCCGAGCCGACUAAGGCACAGUCACACUCUUGGGUUCAUCUUUAGACCAGAUUUUCCUGAUGGUGCCUGUACUUGAUUUUUACCUAAGAGCCCUUUAAAUUUAACAUCAUUUGCCAUCUGGAGAAGGUGAGAAUUUUCAAAAGCAGGAAGUGCUGCCUCUCUUUUGUUUAACAGUCCUGCCUUUAGCUCAUUUCUCUUGUCUCACUUUUUAUCAGAAGCAGCAAGAAGAAAUCACUCUUCAGUACUCUGCUUGGACCAUCUCCUUUGCUAGACCACCCCAUGCCUAAGGUGAAAAGAAACAAAGGACUCGAAUCGACAUUGCCAAGGCCCACAGAUGGAACUUCAUGAGUCAGGUCUUCUCCUCAUGUGCGUCACCCACCAGAAUCAAAAACACCUUUGCUGGUCCCAGGAGAGAUCUCUCUUCCCACCAAGGACAGAGGCCCCCAGCUCAGUUGGACCUCACUAAGCAGGGGGAGUUUAAGCCUCUGUCACCCGAGACCCGGGGCUUCAGUGGAAAGCUGGCAGCUUGUUGCCUGUGAAGCACCCUCUUCACCUCGGAUGAGAGCGGGGGUGGGGAAUGGAGCUGAAGAAGGUGUGCAGCCUGGUCUCCUUCAAGGAGAGGAAGAGCUGGCUGGUCCUGAUGCAACAAGGACACCCAGGAGCAGGCUAAGUAACUCUUUAUUUUUAUUUGUAUUCACACAAGAAUGUUUAUUAUGGCAUUGUUCAUAGUGACAAAAAAUGAGAAGCAAAGUGAACGUUCAUGAAUGGUUGUAUAAAUUACCCCCACACACACACUACUAAAUGUGAUAUAGCCAUUAAAUAUAUAGAACUCAUAGAGCAGUAUGAAUUUGGAGGACUCUUCAAAAGUAGCAAAGGGACUUCCCUAGUAGUCCAGUGGGUAAGAUUCCAUGCUCCCAAUGCAGGGGACCGGGUUCGAUCCCUGGUCAGGGAAAUAGAUCCCGCAUGCAUGCCGCAACUAAGAGUUUGCAUGCCACAACUAAAGAUCCCACAUGCUGCAACUAAGACCUGGCACAGCCAAAGUAAAUAAAUAAAUAAACAAACAAAUAUUUUUGUAAAAAGAGUAGCAAAAGCAACAUGUAAGAAAUAUGUAAGAGAUGAUGUAAUCUCAUUUUUAAAUAUGGGAAAAUUGGGCUGUUAAUGUGGACUGUUGGGAUGGGAGGGUCUCAUGGGGGAGGAGAAGAAGCAGAAAGCAGAGAUCACAGGGGCUUAAGUAACUUUAAUUAACUUGGACUUUGCUGUAGGGUCAGCAUGUCUUGGAAACUAGAGAUCUCCAAAGUGGGGACCAUGCAUCUCGGGUGGGGUAUGGCGUCAGGAUGACUCACUGGAAUGCAGGAGGACAAUUUUAGAACUUUGCUCUGUACUUAUUUUUGUCUAAUCCCCUAACAUUUCUACUGGGUGUAUGCUUUAUGACGUGCACACUGUGAUUGGAACAGUAGUAAAUAUAUUUAAUUGAUAAAUAAAUACGCAACAUGAAGUGCUUAUGAGACAUUGGAAUAUGAUGAGGUGCAAAGCUUGGGGACCACUGCUGCUCCCACAGCCCUCACAGCCCGCUACACCCACAGCAGAGGGAGGACUCAAGGGAUGUGGACAUUCAGUGGAAACAGCACUUUUUUCACAGGAGCAGGGGGAGAGUCUGCCUGACAUGCAGCAGUAGCGGGGAGGGCAUGCUGCUUGACUCUUCCAGGUGGCCAGGCUGUCUCACAACCAAUGAUGAACCCACGCAGAGCUCACAGAAGACGGAAACCAUUUCUCCGGGCUCUCCUGGGGCCUCCUCUCCUGUGCGCAAAACGUGCCUCCCCAGGAUCCUUCUCGAUCCUUCCGUCCAUCUCCUGGAAGUUCCAGCCCUGGCCUCAUGCUACUUUUGUAGACUAGCCAGUGAGUCCCAUGUGCCUGGACCUCGGAUUCUCCUGAUGAAAACACCAGCAAACUCCUUCCCUGGGCUCAUUGUAGUGCCACCCAUGGGGCUGUCGUGAAGAUUAAUGACUUGGUUCUCAUGACGGGCUUUUAGUAAUGUCACCGUCACUAUUCUCUGGCUGCCUGUUCUGGGACCUGGUAGCCCUCUUAGGGCUCCUGGGUAAACGUUUGCCAUUUGAGUAAAUACAUCCUUCACUCCAUCCUUUCCUGCUGCCCAACUUCUAAUGAAAACACUUCAAAAACAAGGCCUAAAGCACUAUCCUCGCCGGAUGUUUCCAUCUGGGUCUGGUUAGGAGGCAGAAACCACACAAUAAUUUGAACAAGGGAAGUUAACUCUAAGGGAUUAUUCCACAGUGAUAGGAAAGUGGCUAUAAAGGUGGAAAGAGAACUCUAAGGGGUGCCCUAGGGCAGGGAGACAGCCAAGAAAGGGCAGACUUGGAAGGGGGUUCACCAUGGUCGAAGCAGGUGUGGUUGGGGGUCACUGGCUGGGACAGAAGUCCACUGGUGGCCUUGGCCAGAGCUGGCCCAUGUCCCUGGGCAGCAGGAACCUGUGUCUAGAGCACAGGCGAGGGGGGCUUGUAGGUGGGUGCACAGAGGGUUCAAGGCACUGCUGCCCACGUGAGGCUGGGGGAGAACAGCAGUGUCCCCACUGCAGCUGGGUGGUCACCAGCCUGGGCCAAGGCUGCCUGUGUGCUAGGGCAGAGCACCACCGGGCACUCAUGCACGUGUGCGUGCAUACACACAACUGACAGUGCAAUAGAAAUGAAAAAGAGCAAACCCCUCACCCUGAAAUGUGGGAAGAGAACCUGGCCUUUUCCUGCAAUGUCCCUCUCACGCUGUCUUCUGACAAAGUUUUUUUCCUGCAGUGUCCCUCUCACGCUGUCUUCUGACAAAGUUUAGCAUUGCUCUUACAGUAAAGUAGAAAUGCUGAGAGUACACACAGCCCCUUAUCACAGAGCAGGUACUGAAGGGUGAAUUUGGAUCCAAUAGGCAAACAAUUGCUAUCUGGCACACUGGGUAAAAAUCAUGGUAUUUAUCUGCAAGAUAGAAUUAUAUGAAGUAAUUAAAAAUUAUGUUUUAGAAGACUAUUUAAUGCCCUGAGAAAAUUCUCAUGAUAUACUAAGUGAAAAAGCAGAUUACAAAAGCAAUCAAUACAGUGUAAUCCUAAUUUUUAAAAAAAGAGCAAGAAAAAGAGUGAAGAUCUUCAUUUAAAAAAAGAUUCCUGAAUGUCUUCUCCUUUUCCCACUGCCUGUCAACCCCCUCCCAUCCUUCCCCAUGUUUUGGUGAGAGUGAGAAAGUGAGUCAGAGGUCAGGCAGUGUAUUAGAGAACCAAUGAUUUUAAUUCCCUUCCGGUCAUCUGCCUCACCCCUUGCCCAGGAGGAGCUGGGGAAAUGUGCAGGGAAAGUAUUAUGUUACACAGAAUCUCAGCCACUUUCCCUCUCCUUUUUGCUUUCAGAAUUCCCCCAGUGAUAUUGGACUGGCCCCUCCUCAGGCCCAGGAGAACUGGAAAGGAUUGGACCCCGGCUUCAGGAAAGGGUGUGAGAAAAGAUGGUUCCCUUUAUCCCGCAGACCAGCAAGGAUCAGUGGUCUCAUGAAGAAAGGUGGUCCAUGGCUGACGGUGCUGGGUUUCCUGCAGGCGUAACGCAGGAGGGAGCGAGGCCCGUGUUCACAGCCUCCAUCAUCUCUCACCGGCUCUUGUUUACAAAGUGCCAACCCAGGCUGCAUGCUGCUCUGGGCCUUCCUGGAAGGGGUCAUUCAUCUGGGAGGAAAGUAGGGGUCCCUGAGAAUGAUGAAGGGCGAUGGAGGGCGGACACCAGGGCCUCCUACCUCUGUGUUUCCCAGAAGAAGGUCACAAGAUGGCAGGGACCAGCCUGGGUCCAGGGAGCACCUCCUCAGGCAGAAGCUGGUGGAACUUCGGGUUCUGACUCCCAAGUUCAAUGGCACCAGCGACAUGUAGCUCUAACUUGUGACUUCUCCUGCCUCUCUCUGUGUGUGCCCAUGGGGGUGGCCUGAGGAAAUGCCACUGCUUCCUGGCAGUGCUGAGAGCUGCCCUCUGUUUACAUGGAUGAAUCUAGAAUGAAGAUGGCUAAUCACAACAAUGGCUAAUACUUUUGGAAGGCUUACCGUGUGCCGGAAAGAAGUGCUUGUAAUGGAUUAUUUCACUUAAAGCAGUCUUUCAACACGUAUCCUGUGUGCCGGCAAGGUUCUAGGCACUGCAAUGCAGCAGGAUGAAAGAGACAAAAUCCCACGGAUGAACAACAUGUGGUCCGUACACACGACGGGACAGUAUUCAGCCUUAGAGGAAGGGAAUUCAGCCACGUGCUACAACAUAGAUGCACCUUGAGGACGUUGUGAAGGAAAUAAGCCAGAUACAAAAGGACAGAUACUGCAGGAUUCCACUUACAUGAGAACUUCCUUUGAGUCUUUGUCAUCUCGGUCUCCUGCCCUCCCCGUGCUCUUGCUUUUUGCCUGCUGAGUUGUGAGAAUCAAAGAUCAUCACACAGAUGGAAAAAACAGGGAUGCGAGCAGGUGCUGGUGCUGGUGGUUGACCGGUCACAGGGCCAGUGGAUUCUAUCCCCCGUCCCCUACGGACUCAUCCUAUCCUCACAUCCACCGCCUGCCUCUCCGCAGCCCUGUCUCCUCCUAAAGACUGUCUUCAGGGCAUGUCCAGCACAGGUGACUCAUGGUCCCUCCACUGGUGCCAGAUGUCAGCUGUCCCUCGUUCUCUGGCGCCAGCAUUUGUGGGAACAGCCUCUAUGUCUAUCCUGCAUGAACUUGGGAGCAGAACUCAGAAAGCAUCCCCUCACGCAAGAGCAGAAGUCUGCGUAGUAGGAUUUCCAGAAGCUCUCCCAAGGGAGGCGGUGUGGGCGUUUACAUCACAGCAAACUGCUUAAAGAUCCAUUUCAGGUGUUUCGCUUCUCGAAAAGCUUUUUCUAUCUCCCUGUCCCCAGGAAGUGCCCGACCUGGGUGGCGGUCCUCUCCUCUUUCAUUACCAGCGGAGCAGCCCUGCCCAGCCUCCACUCCCAAACUUGCAGAAAACUCUGUACAGACCAUAGUGAAACAAAGAGUGACGGGGUUAACUAGACCUACUUUCAUUUUAAAAGGCCGCUUUAUGAUCAUUUCUGAUAAUCAUGUCAUUCACCAUAAGUGACUUAUCAAAAUAUUUUUUUCAAAGAGAUGUCUCUGCCUAAGAAAAAUAAUAAUUUUUAUUUCACUACUGAGUUUUUAAUUGGAGGUUGUAAACGUCGUGUCAUAUUUAACGCUCAUUAGACUCCCUCCCUUUGGAUUCCAGUAAACAUCACACUGUCUGUUAAUGUGCUCAGGAGAUCCUGUUUGGAUGCCAAGCACUGACCUGGAAAGCUGGCUGGGGCAGGAACUGGUAUGUAGAGGAAGCGUGGAAGAGGGGCCCUUUGGAGGGAGGAAGAGGUGCUACCAGCACACAUCUGGAUGCUGAUUCCACUUCCCUCCUGCCUCCCUUCAGGGCCUUCCCGUUGCUUCCAAGGAAAAGCCCACACCUCUUAGCUAGGUGUGCAAGGCCCCCGCCCACAGUUGAGCAUCAACUGGAAUUUCAGACCUCACCUCCUACCAUUUCUCUGCACCUUAACCAAGCUGAGUAUUCCCGUGUAAUGCCAUUCAUUGGGUGUUCUUAAUGUGGUCCCUUACACUACUGAGCGCUCUAGGGUCUUGUAACAACUGAGGGCACGCCCUGCUCCUGCAGCCCCAUCCCAUCCAUGGAGGGCAAACCUUUAAGCUGCGGCAGGCUAGUCUCCUGGGCCUGGAUCCCUGAGGCUUCCCCACCAGCACGGUUACCUUGGAAACCGUGCAACCCUGCCCCCCACACCCUCGGAGGUGGGCGUGAGUAGCAGGGUCAGAAGCCAUAGUGUCAUUGCGUAUUGAUUCAACCAGGUUGUGGAAAUAAUGGGUUAACACUGGACUGGAUGAGAAUUUGUCCCAGUAACCUGGGCCAUGUUGCCAGGCCUUUGAGGUGCAGCAUGAGUUCUCUUACCCUCAGGCCAUCCCCCGAAUUCCUGGCCUGUCACCACGUACCUUGCAGUGGUGUCUGUCCUGGACCUGCGUCAGAGGCCGAACUCUGUUGCGUCCUGCAGUGAAGCCUGGGUUAGAUGCUGCUGGGGAAGGACCAGAGGAGAAUCAUCUUGGGACCUAACCUCUGGCACUGCCAGACUAAUCAUGAAGGUUCUGGAAGGCCCGUGGGCACUUCGCGAAGCCUGAGGGUUUUGCUGACACCAUGAAUCUCUCUAGCAAACCUUGGCUGAGUCACACAGAGGCUCUGGAUGAACGUUCCCAGCUUCUCUGCCCCUUCCACUGCUGUCCAUGGAGCUCUGCAAACUCAUCUCCCACUUAGGGGUCUUUUCACCCCCUUUCUGCCAGGAGACGCGAAGCCUGUGACUCGGAGAGGUUAAGUGAUUUGCCAGAUCCCACUGUCGACAAAUUCGCUGCAGAAUUGGGAGUGGAAUCCGUCCCUUCUGACGCCUUCCCUCCCCUCCACGGAGUAGACAGGUGCACUCCCUUGGCUGGGGCAGCCCCCGAGACCUCUGGGGCGGGUGGAGUCCAGCCUUGCGACACCCCUGUCUUCGUACCUGGCCUCCUCCCCUCCCCGUCCUCUGGGAACCUGCCUUGUCCAGAGGCAGCCACACACCCUUGUCCCAGGAGAUUUGUCUUUCUGUUGCUUCCACCCGGAGGGCCUGGUUCCACCUCUGGGGGUCAGUACCGUCAUUCUGGUCCUCCUACAGUGACGACAGUCCUCACGGGAACCCAGAGGUCUGUCCUUCUGUUGUCUCUUCUCCAGGUGAAGUAACCCUGCUUCCUGCCUAUGAUUCUGACACCAAUUCCCGUGGGUGUGUUUUUUUUCUCCCACCAAGUAUUUUUUUUUACACCACCAAGCAAUUAACUCAGUUCUGACACUACUUGGAGACAGCGUCAGAUCCCACAGAUGAAGGGCUCAGCCCCACAAGACUGCGCCCCCCAACCUUCAGAUGCCAAUUGCAAGUCCAGGUUGUCAGCGGUGACCCACCAGCUGUCUAGUGGGCAUUCUCACAACCACCUCCUUGGGUUCGAUUAAUUUGCUAGAGCAGCUCAGAAGUCAGACAAGCAUUUUACUUACUAGAUCACUGGUUUAUUAUAAAAGGAUUAACUCAGGAGUCAGAUGGAAGGGAUGCAUAGGGCAAGCAUGGGGAAAGGGGCACAGAGCUUCCAUGCUCUCUCUGGGGGCCGCUCCCCCAAAUCUGUGUUCACCAACCCAGAAGCUCCCCAAACCAUGUCCUUUGGGGUUUUUCUGGAGGUUUCAUUGCGACUGAUUAAAUCGUUGGCCAUUGGUGAUUGACUCAAACUCCAGCUCCGCCCCGCUCCCCAGAGGCUGGGGGAGGGACUGGAAUUUCCAACCCUCCAGGCACCCUAUUCACAUAACAGAGACACCUUUAUGGCUCUCCUCCAGUAGGUAAUCCCAAGGGUUUUGGGAGCUCUGUGCCAGGAGCAGGGACUCAGACCAAAUUUAUAUUUCCUGUUAUAAAUCACAGCAUCACAGUCCUUCAUCGUGGGAAGCCUGGCGUCCAAGGGUCCCCUUCCCCGUCCGUGCGGCUGCCCUGUACUUUCCGACCACCCCAGCGCAGCUGAGCAGGAGAGGAGGCCACCGUGCUUGCGGGUCCAGCUCCGGGAGCCGCCACCACCUGCCAGCGCCACUUCCCCAGCUGUUCCUGUGCUCGGCAGUGUGGCCGGAGCCGAGCCAGCCAGGGUAUGAGCCCUGAGCCGGACGGGGAUCCAGAUCCUGGAAGCAGGAGAGGAGCGGCGGCCAGCGCCUGGCACGGGGGACGGCAACUCCGCCAGCCUGGCUCUGGGAGAAGCGCGAGGACAGCUCUGCUCCUGGAGGAACAUCAGACGCAGCCUGCCUGAGUUCCCAAAGUGAACCCCAGGAAUGCAGAUGAAGAGUAGAAUGCUAACAUGUGGGCUGAUGCCUCCCGCCAGGUACCAGGUUUGUUUUUUUAUUCACCGACUCUGCGCAUCCCUUUUAUCCUUGAGAGCUCAUUCAUGGGGGAAGGUUUGGGCCCAAUUUUAUUUUUCUUCUGCAUGGUCGCUGUGGGCUGUUCUCCAUCCAUUUCCUCAUUAGCAUCCCUGUUCCCCCUUCCCCCAUGCCUCUGCAUCGCUGCUUGGAGGGCGGGUCCGUGGCUUCUAUAAUUCUGUGCUCUCUGCAUGGCAACCAGGUGACUGACCCCUCUUUAAAGCUCAAAGGGCCGUUGCUUAAAGCUUUCUCUGAAAAACAGCGCCCUGCCCAUAGUCGAGCUCAAUGGUUGUUGGAACCAAGGAGAACCUUUGAAGAUGCCCUCUCCUCGCCACUGGCCUCUACAAAGAAACAGACCUUUCUGACCACAGCCUCUCCACGGAGUUUGCCCUACUUAGCUAGCCCGAGGACGGCUGACUCUGAGUCAGCUUCUCCACGGUCUCUGCCUCUCGGCUGUCCUGGUUUAUAUAAUAUUCAGAGUUUGGGCUGUUAGCUAGCUGUCCCCCUUCAGUCUCAGACCUGGGAUUGUGGCCGAGAGAGGUGGGCAGGGCCCAGCCGUUUCCCCAGCUGUGGACACCAUCCCAGAGAAGGCCCCCGUUUUAGCUGCAACACAGCAGAGGGGGACAAGCAAGGACACUGGUGGCCACCAUUCAAUCCAUUUCUUCAAGCCUCAAUUUCUUUAUUGAAUGUGAGGUUGAGAAGCGUGGCCCAUGAAGUCAACCGGGUAAUGAGGUAAACAUCCAGCAUGAUGUGCGUACGUGGUAGGUGGAAUGGGUUGAAUAGUGAGCCCCCCAAAUUCAUGUCCGUCUGGAACCUCAGAAUGUGACCUCAUUUGGAAAUAGGGUCUCUGCAGAUGCAGUUAAGGUAAGGAUGGAGAUGAGAUCGGCCUGGAUUAGGGUGGGUCCUGAGUCCAAUGAGAGUGUCCGUAUAAGAGACAGAAAAAGACACAGGGACACAGAGAAGGCGGCCGUGUGAGGACUAGAGGCAGAAAUGGGAGUGUUGCAGCCACAAGCCAAGGAAUGCCAGGAGCUGCCAGAAGGUGAAAGAGGCCACAGAGGUUCUUCCCUAGAGAGGGUGGCCCUGCUGACACCUUGGCUUUGGGCCUCUGGCCUCCAGACUGUGAGAGAGACAUUUCUGUUGUUUUUAAGCCACCAAGUUCGUGGUGACGUGUUACAGCAGCAACAGGAGACUAAUACAGGAUGUUCUUAAGGGACAGCUAUUACCUUCUUUCUUUUUAGGAGAAGACUGGACUGUUUAGAGACUUGCUGGGAAAGGAGGAGGGGAGGGCAGUUGGAGGGAGGAUCCAGCUGGGGACAGAGGGGCCCGAGGGGGAAGGCUUUGCAGGGCAGGGCAGGGCAGGGUGUGCGAGGGCGGAGGUGCUGGGAAUUAACGCUUUGAGGAGUUGACCUGCCCCUUCCUAUGUUUCCUGCUCCCACCCACACCGACACACUCCCCGGGGAGUAGGGGUGGGGACACAGUGCAUUCCAUAGGUUCAGAAAGUCAGUGGACACCCCAGAGCCCCUGGCCUCCUGAGCCAAGACUGGACGAUGUUCAGAGGUGGCUUAACUGAGUCUGGACCUGCAGUCUCCGCAGGUGAAGGCUGAGCAGCUGGGUGGGGGUGCCCACCUGGCCGUGACCCGCUCGGCUGCCGUGGGGCACAGGUGCCAACGUAGCAGAAGUUGACAGAGGCCCCAGUGCAGUUUGCUAAGUUACAAGGGACCAAACUGCGGGGACCCCUGGUAUUUGGGGUGUGUUUAACCUUUGCAAGCUUCUGGCAAGGGACACGCAGCAGCGCUUACCCGGCACGUCUCUGCGGUGCCUGGGAAGCAAAGCCUGCUGUCUCCAGGUUGUUUCACACGGUGUAGCCUGGGCUCCCGAGCCUGACUUGGUUCCAUCAGGAGGGGAGGUGUGGCCCCCGCUUCCCACACCACGGGGUCAGUUACAUGCAGCUCACUUGUGUCGCUUUUACGGGUCUCAGAAGCCAAGGGCAGUCCGUUCUCUCCCUCAUCCUUGUUACUGUCUCCAUCUUCAAGAGUUUGGUUCUCAAACACUGGACCAGCUUUGAAGAGACGAGGCUGGAAGAACUAAAUCUCCAGUCCCGCCAGAGGGCUACGUGCCGCAGCUCCCGCGCCCGCCGGGGAGAGAGACUAGGGUGCAGCCAUGAGAGGUUGGACCCGGGCCUUCCCUGUCGGGGGCGGCCUGCUCUGACCUCAGCCUUGCUCCCCGGGAGAGCACCCCCAGCACAGCCUCACACGGGGCUGGAGCCCCGGGGCAGCCAGACCUACCGGUGGUUCAUGCGGGAGCUCUCUCAAAGGCAACGGUGAGGCAGGGAAUGCCAGGCAGGAAGGAAUGCUAUCAGAUUCACCUUUUUAAAAAGAUCGUCUUGGGACUUCCCUGGUGGUGCAGUGGUUAGGACUCUGCGCUUCCACUGGAGGGGGCCCGGGUUCCAUCCCUGGUCGGGGAACUAAGAUCCUGUAAGCCGAGUGGCAUGGCCAAAAAAAAAAAAAAAAAGGAACGUCUGUGGGUUUGAGAGAACAGAUGAACAUGGGGGACAGUGGAGGCAGGGGUGCAGGUGAGGGCGAAGCAGAGAGCAGCCUCGAUGAAGACAAAGGUGAGAGCCGGUUCAGAGGUGAACUCGGACCUGAGUCAGCGGACUGCACGUGCGGCAAGGGGGUGAGUUUUCACGCACAGACCCUGCGCGCUCCUGGAUAAAUCAGACCAAGUACACAGCAGGCAUGAGAGAAAAACUUGCUCGGUCCUUCCCCCUAGCGCCCACCCAGAGCCUCACCUGCACCACGUCCUACAUUUCCCACCCCUCCCCCUCCACGCCUGGGUCUGCAGCUCCAGCAGCCAGGCUCCCUCCCCGACUUUUUUUUUUUUCCAGUUGAAAAUACUGCAGAUGUCACCGAUGGGCCAACCCAGACUUGUGACUCUCUAACUCUACGGAAUGUGUAAUUAUAGCAACACAAGCGUCAAAUUACCAAGGACAAGUAGCUGCAAAUAGCACAGAGUGAAGAGCAAAAGCCCUUUUUCACCCCCGGCCCAACCCUGCUUUCCCACAAGCCCAGGAAUAGUCAUUGUUAACAGCAUGUAAUGCCCCGUUCCUAAAUCACAUAAGCAUCCUGUAUCGUGAUUCGUCAGCUUUGUGGAAGACAUUCCUCCCAGGCCUGGUGGUCCUUGAAAAUUCAUUCAGGUUAAGAGGUGGAUACAAGAAAUGGAUUGGAGCCCUUUGUGCACAGGUGGGGCUUGUUAAUUGUUUGGUGAACUGUACUGGAAGAGGAAGGGGUGGUCCGCAGGCUUUUUCCUAUCUUUGGGGCUUACUAUUCUUGGGGGUGUUUCCAUUUCUUUAGUGAAGACUCCUCCAGUUUCCUGACCGGGAGUGUAACCCUGUUUGCUGGCGUUCUGGGACUGGGAAGGAGCAGGGAGCUAAUUGUCUCAGCGGUCUGUGUGCAAACCUUAAAUGAAUUCCCCUAAGUCUGGUCGCGGGACCACCCAUGGCCACCCUCCUCAUGCCUGGCACCUGUGAAUUGGUUCAAGCUCUUAGCACUGCUGGGGGAUGGGUGAAUUGGUUGUGGGACUGGGUGGGGUCAGGAGCUGGGAAUCUAAGCUCUCCUCCUCCUGACUUUCAAACGACCUUCCUGCUUCCACUUCUUCCCUUUCCCUGAAACCACGCCCCCUCCACCACCUGUGCCUCCAGAUCCAGAGGCUUCCUGGGCUUCACGGCCAAUCUGCUUUCUCUGGACCCAACUCACCUCUGUAGGCUCUUAGGUAUGACAUUCCUGCUCCCAGCUUGGUCAUUUCCAUCUGCUUUUUGCCUUCAUUUUGUUCUAAGUUACAAAGAUUCUUUAGUUUCAUCAAAAAUGCAUCCAUAUUUCUGACUUUUUUCCUUUUACUAUUUGGGAUGAAUUUAAGAAGAAAAAAUUGACAGGAAUGUCUUUAUCUGAUAUCUAGAAACUCGUUGGAAACAGUAUUAAGUGAAGAUCACUGAAAGACAUGUAGUCCUUCCAUACAUCUAGAUCAUCUAAAAAAAUUCUUUGAAUUUAGCCUGAGCCACAGAGAGCUGUAUACCUGAAGGCUGUUGCAUUGGCUUCCUGAGUUACUGAGUUGCACAUUAAUGUGAUGCCACCAGCUUGUAAGUCCCAAGGAGCUCAUUGCUGUGUGUCCAGUAAGGAAGCUUUGAAGGACAUUGAUCAUUGAAAUAAACAUUGUUCUCUCAAAAGGAUCCUCAAGAGAAUUUACUUGUCUUAUCUUUGUAUACUGUCCAGUUUUUUAUUAUUAUUAUUAUUUUUAGUUGAGUGAUUGGUUUGCUUUUACUCUUUGGUGUGUGUGUUUCCCUUUUCCCAUUGGCUUCUAGGCAGCUCAGAGCACAAUUUUGGGCUUGCUUUUAGCAAGGAUAUAGAACUUAGUUUUGUGUUCUAGUCUCAUUUUUGUUAGCAUUUUAUCUCCUCCUCUUGUUUACCAUUGCCUUUGUUUUUUCUUCCCCCUCACCCACUCCUAAUUCUUGUCGUGUUGCUCUGUUUUAUAUGUGGGUUGCCAAUAGCUUUAAAUCUUUUUUGUACCAUAGAGUUAUUGAAAUAAGUAAGUAGAAAAUUGAUAAUAGAAAUGAAUGAAUGCAGAAAUAUUCACAAUUUUGUAUUGUUUGAUGUAUGCCCUCUUUAGUUACAGAUUUGGUCAUUUCUUACUAUAGGUCUAAUUUAAUCUUUUCCUUUUAUAGAUGAGGCAAGUGUGGUCUAGAUAAAUUGAUUUAGUCAACAUCAGGUACCUUCAAAUUGUUGUGAUACCGUCACAACCCUCCAUCCAUAGAAUUCUUCGCAUUUUGCAAAACCGAAACUCUGUACCUAUUAAACAAUAACUCUUCAUUCCCCACUCUCAUGGUAACCACCAUUGUACUUUCUGUCUCUAUGAACUUGAGUGCUCUAGAUACCCCCACAUAAGUGGAGUCUACAGUAUUUGUCUUUUUUUGUGUCUGGCUUAUUUUACUUAGUGUAAUGUCUUCAUGCUACUUGUAGUAGCGUGUUUCAGAAUUUCCUCCCUUUUCAAAGCUAAAUAAUAUUCCAUUGUAUGCAUAUACACAUUUUAUUUCUCCAUUCCUCUAUUGAUGGACUUGGGUGGCUUCCGUUUUUUGCCUGUUGUGAGUAAUGCUGCUGUGAACAUGUGUGUACAGAUACUCUUCCUGUGUUGCCCCUUUACAGCCACACCCACCUCCCUCCCCCACCCCCUCAUUAACCACUGGCAACCCCUAAUCUGUUAUCAUUUCAACAGUGUUGUAGAAAUGCAGUCAUACAGUGUAUAACGUUUUGGGAUUGGCUUUUUCACUUUGAAGAAUUCCCUGGAGAUUCAUCCAAUGCUUACAAUACUGGAAUGACCAGUCUUGGGCAUGUGUCCUUGGAGACAUGGGCAAAAGCAUCUAAUAUCGAAAGUUCUAUACUCAAGAAGGGUCAUAGGUCAUGAGAAUAUUCAACUUUACUAGAUAUUGCCAAGGUUCUAUCCAAGGAAGAUGCUACCAGUUUAUACUCCCACCAGCAAUUUAUGAGACUUCCUUUUCCUCCACAUCAAAGAAUCCGAUUUUUGUUCUGAGAAGAUCACUCUGGCUGCAAAGUUAAAAGUCAAGUGCUCCACUGCCCAGAGCCCUCUUUGACUGAUGACCUUACUGCCCCCGCCAUCACAAGCUGCAAUCUGCUGGGACACAAGGUGGCUGAAAUGGUGGGGCUGGGGUGGUGGAAGCCCCUCCCCCCACUAACUAGAUCAAUUUCCGCACGUGGAUGCCUGCGUGGGACCGUCCAGUGUUGUAAGCUCCUUGAAGGCAGGCGCUAUUCCUGCUACAUGUAUCAGCCUAAAGUUCCUAGAAUAAGGCUGGGCACACACGAGAAACUCAAGAAGAGCUUCAUUCACGGAUUGUUUGGGUCAUCGUGGUAACACCACUAAAGAAUAUUCUGGUAAUGAGGGAAGAUGUGUAAAGAUGUUCAUUAGUUAUGCCCAUUUUAGAGCAUCGUUUGCUCCAGAGACAAUGGAAUGAAAAGGGAUAUUUCUGACCCUGAAGAGUCCUCCAGGUGACCUGUGUCUAUUUUCUUCUUCUGUGGGGAAGAACGUGGGCAGAGGGGGGACAUGGGGCACCUUCACCCGGUGACUCUCUAUGCCCAAAGAGCCAAAGAGGCCCUAGGUGAUGACAGAUUUUUAAAAUAUACUGUUGUUGUCCUUUACUGCCCAGGGGACCUUAAGUCAGGUAUAAAGCCCAGGGUGGGAUGUGAAGGCCAUUUCUUGUGCCAGUCUCUUCUGGAGCACGAUAGACUCAAACCUAGGAUGGUCCCUGGUUAUGUCAGCAAUACAGGCAAAGAAAGCCCAAGAAAAAUCAACCUUUGUCUCAAGGCCAAAGUUUUUUUCUUCCUCAAAUUCUUUCACAGGGACUUCCCUGGUGGCACAGUGGUUAAGAAUCCACCUGCGAAUGCAGGGGACACAGGUUUGAUCCCUGGUCCAGGAAGAUCCCACAUGCCAUGGAGCAACUAAGCCCGUGAGCCAUAACUACUGAGCCCGCGUGCCACAACUACUGAAGCCCACGUGCCUAGAGCCCACGCUCCACAACAAGAGAAGCCACUGCAAUGAGAAACUCGCACACCGCAACAAAGAGUAGCCCCCGCUCGACGCAACUAGAGAAAGCCUGUGUGCAGCAACGAAGACCCAACACAGCCAAAAAUAAAUAUAUUUUUUAAAAAAUUCUUGCACAUGGGCGUACACGCGAGUAUACACACACACAUACACACACACACUUAAAAAGAAAGGAGAAAGAGGGUGAAGAUGGCUUUGGAGUCCAGGUUAGCCUGUGAGCCGUCACAGUGUUAUCACACAGGAGACAGCUGCUUGUGACUAUGGCAACUUGGACCCCGAGGGAGGAGUGUGAAAUGGAAGGAAUAUUAAUCACGCUGGUGGGGGGAAGAUGCAGGAGUGACAGGAGGGUCUGAGAUGGUUGGGUAAGGUUGGCUCUGGGUGCGUCUUUGGAAAAAGCACAUCAUGUCUUUUAGGUUUCCUGUCUCUUCCUUCAGAGCCCCUCUUUUCUUCCUGGAUGCCCAUCCUAAGUCCUAGGGCAGAAGCUCCUCUAGAACUAGGGGUGUGGUGGGCAAAAGACAGGAGGCUGAGCCCAGUCAUCCUCAAACACCAACUCUUUGUGUUUAUGAAUGACCUGUUAGAAAUGUCCCAACUUAGUCACCUUCUCUCACUCAGACAUUUCUGAGAAGGGUGAGUAAGCACAGUAAAUUCUUCUCUCAGUGGAUUUAAAUUGCUUAUAAAGUGUCACAUCCACUACUUCAGUUCAGUCAGCAAUUCUGACCAUAAGGGUUAAUAUUGUAGUGUGUUUAUUUUCAUGCCACGCCCUUGACUCAGGUGUAGGGAGAAGUAGCUUGUCCAGGUUCACACAAAGAGGAAACUUCAGAGCACUGCGAUUCUGCUUGCUUCAACAAGCACAGUGUGUAUGUGUGUGACCAGGGAGCAUUGGAGCUCUGCUGACUUUUAUUUGGUUGAAUUCCCUUGUGUCUGCAUGGUCUGAAUGUCAGUGACUGAAACGCAUUUACAAGAGAGCAGGUUGCAGUAACUGUACUUGCACUUCCUAACUUAUAUAGGACAUGACGGUUUUGUUUGUUCCAAAUAAACUCUUCACAGUAUCCUGCAGAUAAAACGCGUCCCUAUUGUGUGCAUUUCUAUUUGUGUGGGAAGAUGAUAUUGUGAAAUAUUAACAUAAUCUUGCUCCUCACAAAGACACACGUGCACCUGGUACCCCAUGGCACUACCCUGAUGGAGGGUAACAGAAAACAGGCCUUUCCCAAAAUAGGGUUGCCAGACUUAGCAAGUAAAUAUACAGGAUACCCAGUUCAAUCUGAA